rnacentral:rRNA from 1 species
UACGGGGGGGGCAAGCGUUGUUCGGAAUUACUGGGCGUAAAGGGCUCGUAGGUGGCCAACUAAGUCAUACGUGAAAUCCCUCGGCUUAACCGGGGAACUGCGUCUGAUACUGGAUGGCUUGAGAUUGGGAGGGGGAUGCGGAAUUCCAGGUGUAGCGGUGAAAUGCGUAGAUAUCUGGAGGAACACCGGUGGCGAAGGCGGCAUCCUGGACCAACACUGACGCUGAGGAGCGAAAGCCAGGGGAGCAAACGGG